rnacentral:rRNA from 1 species
UACGAAGGUGGCAAGCGUUGUUCGGAUUUACUGGGCGUACAGGGAGCGUAGGCGGUUGGAUAAGCCCUCCGUGAAAUCUCCAGGCUUAACCUGGAAAGUGCAGAGGGGACUGUUCAGCUAGAGGAUGGGAGAGGAGCGCGGAAUUCCCGGUGUAGCGGUGAAAUGCGUAGAGAUCGGGAGGAAGGCCGGUGGCGAAGGCGGCGCUCUGGAACAUUUCUGACGCUGAGGCUCGAAAGCGUGGGGAGUAAACGGG